GACGAACGCUGGCGGCGUGCUUAAUGAAUGCGAGUUGAGCGGGAUCCGGUCAGAUUCUUCGGAUGAUGGCCGGUGAGAGCGGCGAACGGGUGAGUAACACGUGGGUAACGUGCCCUGCAGUCGGGGACAACAGCGGGAAACUGCUGCUAAUACCCGAUAUGGUACCGGACGGCAUCAUCCGAGUAUGAAAGCUCCGGCGCUGCAGGAUCGGCCCGCGGCCGAUUAGCUUGUUGGUAGGGUAACGGCCUACCAAGGCGACGAUCGGUAGCUGGUCUGAGAGGACGGCCGGUCACACUGGGACUGAGACAUGGUCCAGACUCCUACGGGAGUUAGCAUCAGGGAAUCUUGCGCAAUGGGCGAAAGCCUGACGCAGCGACGCCGCGUGUGGGAUGAAGGUUUGAGGACCGUAAACCACUGUCAGGAGGGACGAAGUUCUGACGGUACCUCCAGAGGAAGCCACGGCUAAUUACGUGCCAGCAGCCGCGGUAACACGUAAGUGGCAAGCGUUGUCCGGAUUUACUGGGCGUAAAGAGCACGUAGGCGGUCGGAUAAGCGGCGGGUGAAAUUCCGGGGCUCAACCCCGGAACUGCUCGCCGAACUGUCCGACUAGAGUCCGGGAGAGGGCAGUGGAAUUCCUGGUGUAGCGGUGGAAUGCGUAUAUAUCAGGAGGAACACCGGUGGCGAAGGCUGCUGCCUGGAACGGUACUGACGCUGAGGUGCGAAAGCUAGGGGAGCGAACGGGAUUAGAUACCCCGGUAGUCCUAGCCGUAAACGAUGGACACCAGGUGUUGGAGGCAUCAACCCCUCCAGUGCUGUUUUGCUAACGCGUUAAGUGUCCCGCCUGGGGAGUACGACCGCAAGGUUG
rnacentral:rRNA from 1 species